rnacentral:rRNA from 1 species
UAGCAUAUCAUAAGCGGAGGAAAAGAAAACUAACAAGGAUUCCCCCUAGUAACUGCGAGUGAAGCGGGAAAAGCUCAAAUUUAAAAUCUGGCGGUCUCUGGCCGUCCGAGUUGUAAUCUAGAGAAGUGCUAUCCGCGCUGGACCGUGUACAAGUCUCCUGGAACGGAGCGUCAUAGAGGGUGAGAAUCCCGUCUUUGACACGGACUACCAGGGCUUUGUGAUGUGCUCUCAAAGAGUCGAGUUGUUUGGGAAUGCAGCUCUAAAUGGGUGGUAAAUUCCAUCUAAAGCUAAAUAUUGGCGAGAGACCGAUAGCGAACAAGUACCGUGAGGGAAAGAUGAAAAGAACUUUGGAAAGAGAGUUAAACAGUACGUGAAAUUGUUGAAAGGGAAACGCUUGAAGUCAGUCGCGUUGGCUGGGGAUCAACCUUGCUCUUUUGCUUGGUGUACUUUCCAGUUGACGGGUCAGCAUCAAUUUUGACUGGUGGAUAAAGAUCAGGGGAAUGUGGCAUCUUCGGAUGUGUUAUAGCCUUUGGUUGCAUACAUCAGUUGGGAUUGAGGAACUCAGCACGCCGCAAGGCCGGGUCUUUGACCACGUACGUGCUUAGGAUGCUGGCAUAAUGGCUUUAAUCGACCCGUCUUGAAACACGGACCAAGGAGUCUAACAUGCCCGCGAGUGUUUGGGUGGAAAACCCGGACGCGUAAUGAAAGUGAAAGUUGAGAUCCCUGUCGUGGGGAGCAUCGACGCCCGGACCAGACCUUUUGUGACGGUCCCGCGGUAGAGCGUGUAUGUUGGGACCCGAAAGAUGGUGAACUAUGCCUGAAUAGGGUGAAGCCAGAGGAAACUCUGGUGGAGGCUCGUAGCGAUUCUGACGUGCAAAUCGAUCGUCGAAUUCUGCGGUAUCAGGGGUUGAAA